UAAUUUCUGAUUCGUCUAGACUAAUUUCCUUUAAGUAAUAUGUUUUGUUCAAGUUCCCUUGAAUGCUUGCACUUAAUACAAACGGAAUUAUAGACAAUUCAGAUUAAG
rnacentral:pre_miRNA from 1 species